GUUUUCACGGUUCAUUGCUCAGUUUUAAGUUUUUGUGUUUUGGUCUAUUUUCUUAAACUAUAAGCAAUAGGUCAACUAUAUUUGUUGUAUGGAAGCAUUGUUAGCUGUACAUGUCUGCCUGGCAUAUGGUUCAACUGACCUUGACCUCAUUUUCAUGAUUCAUGUUAAGUUUAUGUGACAGUCGUAAUAAAGCUUUAUAUUUAGGAGUAUCAACAUAAUAUCAAUGAUUAGUAAAGAAGGCGAGACAUUUCAGUGUGUGCACUCUUGUUAAAUUUUUAAUAUAAUAUAACAAGGGUAUUUUUUUUUUAUAUUUUUCAAAUAAUUUUUAGUAAUAUUUGUCUAUAUCUAAAUGUUUUGUUAAGAAGCCGAGUCACAAUAAAAGUUUUGAUUAACUUCAGGUUGCAUCUUGUAGGGUGGAGGUAGUGAUUCAGCACUAC
rnacentral:lncRNA from 1 species